AAAGUGCGAAAAGUGUCAUGACUUGCAGAUUCCCGAGAGCUGACAAAUCUCUGAAUGCAAAUGGCAGUCGCGUUAGACCCGACUAUGUAUUGUAGAGUGUAGAUGCUCCAGCUAUUCAUCAUAUCUCUCUCUGUUUCUAUUGUGACAGACAGAUGAUGUGGACCUGCGCUUGCGAUCGAGAGAGACAUACAUAGUCUGUCUGUCUCACUCUUUCGCGAGUGUGAAAAGAAAAGGUCUACGACAGUAAUCUAUGUCUUCUUCAUCGGAGAGAUAGAGGAUGUCGUGCACCGAUGAGAAUAUGAGUUUCAUAGACACAUCGGAUGCUCCGUUAAGGACCAUAAUACUAUUCAUUUUCAAUGAGCCACCUCUACAAUGCAUGAAAACCCGCUGAACUUAA
rnacentral:misc_RNA from 1 species